AUACCCUACGGGGCGCAGCAGUGAGGAAUAUUGGUCAAUGGGCGGAAGCCUGAACCAGCCAAGUCGCGUGAGGGAAUAAGGCCCUACGGGUCGUAAACCUCUUUUGCCGGGGAGCAAGGGCGGGGACGUGCCCCGGCCCGGAGAGUACCCGGAGAAUAAGCACCGGCUAACUACGUGCCAGCAGCCGCGGUAAUACGUAGGGUGCGAGCGUUAAUCGGAAUUACUGGGCGUAAAGGGUGUGCAGGCGGCUGAGUAAGACAGAUGUGAAAUCCCCGGGCUUAACCUGGGAACCGCAUAUGUGACUG
rnacentral:rRNA from 1 species